UCUGCAGGGAGAGCUGGGAAAUAGAUGCAUGUAGGGUAGCCCCAUUGAAUGUUUUUAAUCAAGUGUUUCCCAGACUUCUUUGAAUAUAGGCCUCCCCUCAAAUGCCCAAACAUUGCUUAACCUUUCUCUGGACAUUAGUCUUCCAUGGAAUCCACUUACCCCCUGGUAGUAUAGCAAUGCCAUUUGUGUGUCUGGAUUUCAACAGGUAUUAAUAACAAUAGUAAUAAUAGUGAUGAUUAUAAUUAUAACUACUACUUACUGACUAUCUAUUUCUAUAAUAAGUACAGUACUGACCUAGAGGUUAGGGUGGUAGGAUAGACUUCUAGGUCCCUAUUCUCCAGGGACUCAGAGUCCAGUGGAAAGUAGACAAAUAAAGGAGUGGUCGGACUCCUUUAUUAUAUAGUGAUGUGCUAGGGGGAAAGCCAGCAGGCUCUGGGUCCCAUGGGAGGGCCCCCACUGCCUGAGUAACUGCCACAGCUUUCAACCCUUCCCUUGCUUCCCUCUAGUCGGUGAGUCAAGCUGAGCCAAAGUGAGAAUCUCAAACGCUGCUAGGGAGGUGUCUCCUUGUUUUAACAUCCCUUCAGGAGCUUCCUGUUGGCCUCAGGACCAAGCCCAACAGGGACAGGACUAGCGCAGGUGAGCAAGGUGCCUGGGGCAGGUGUUAAGGUGGCGCUCGCUCUCCAGGGCAGUCUUGUGCCUGUAUGACCCUGAGAGUGAGUGCCACCUUCCGUCUUGCCCGGACUUCGCUCAGUGACUUUUGUGAUGGAGUCUCUGCUACUUGUGGCCCCUCACCACAGCCUCCCUCUUUCGGUAGCCACACCCAACAUCCUCCUUUUUCCCAGACUCCCUCUCACUCUUGCACCUUCCCAGAAAGGUCCAGAUGUUCACGGAACAGUCUUUCUGCUUUUCUUUAUCUGACCAAUCCCUACGCUUCUGCAGGUUUAGAAUAAAGGUUUCUUGUUCCAAGAUUUUCCUGUCCUUAACUCCUGCUCUUCCUCACGAUCCUGUUUUCAAGUAUCUUUUCAUAGUGCCCUCUACUGGCGUAGAGAGGCUCUUAGUCCACUGCUGGCAGUCCUCAGUUGACUGUCUUCUCUGUCUGGACGUAAUCUCUUUGAGGGAAGGACCAGGGCAAUUUGGCUCACUGUUCCUUCCCAGGGCUCCACCCUUGGUCGUGGUGCUCCACACCGUGCUGCUGAAUAAGCGAACGCAGGAAUGAACGAAGGGAUGAACUCAGACUGGGCAGCAUGGAGCACUUGCAGGAGAGGUGAGGCUUGAGUUAAAUCAAGAGAAGAAAAGACAAGGACUCCGUGAGGCUUUAAUAACAGGCUGAACCAUAUGAAAUGGCACCGUUUCUCUUAAGUAAAGAAUGGUUGACUAUUCAGAAGGGUCGCCCUGGUUAGAGCCAACAUUAUUGAACACUUAGUAUGCGUUCAGGCUCUUCCUAUGCCCUCAAUAACUGUCGAUGUUAUGAACCCAGUUAGUUAGCUACUUCAAUUAUUUGCGUUUGACCAAUGCCACAACUGAAGCACAGAGAAGUUAGGUAACAGACCCAGUGACACACAGCCUCAUAGCAAAGCCACAACUCCAGCCCAGGACAUCUGCUUCAGAAUCCUGAAACCCUAGCCAACAUCUUGAAGGCAAGGAGGGUGGGACAUGCAGAGGGGCAUUAAGGAGGUUGUAAGAAUAUGAGAUGUGCACUUUUCACAGAGAUAUGUUGGGCAAACUGAAGGCGAAGAGACGGCUUUGGAGGAGCUGCAGGGGAGAUUGUCACACCUCCUUCUGCAGUGAGCGCCUCCUGGCUCCCACCUUCUGCCAACCCAAGUGCCUUUGGGAUGUACAGUGACAACCAGCCAUUGCAGCAGGCUUAAAGCCAAACCAUUCCUGCUGUUCCCCAAGGUGUCAGCCCCACACUGCCUACCCCAGCAGAGGCCGUAUAUUUGGGCUGUUGGCUCUUGGCUGCAUGGUCUUUAGUGGAUUCCAAAAGGGCCUUCUUCUGGCAAGAGAGAGGACUGCUUCUCCCCUUUGCUAAGACCCUUCUUCUGGAAGUAUGCAGAUGCAUUUUGAAUAUGGUAAUGCUUACUGGAAGGCAUUGCCGCUGCAUGGCCUAUAGGUGUUAAAUCUAAGAUUUUGCUGAUUGAGCUGGGAACGGGGAGCAGGUCCUAGACCAGUACUUUAAUCGCUCUGGUGAUCUUAGGAAGAGUUGAAGACCUCAGCUUCGAUAUCUGUAAAAUGGGUAUAUGGCCUGCCUGUUCUACUGGGUUCUGGCACCCUCAAUCAAUCUCUAGCCUGCGUGGUGGUUCUCACCACUCCAUAGUUCAGAUCCUCACUACAGCAUGGUGAUUCUCACCAUGUACCAUGGUUCAGAAUCUCACCAUGUACCAUGGUUCAGAUUCUCACCAUGCCACAUUCAGACUGGUGCUCUGCAUAGUCCCGCUCCAAAACAUGUUAUGUUCUGCCCUGCAGAGUGACUUGACUGCACAAAGAAGUUACUAAUAAGAAUAAUUACAAAUCCUUUGGUAAUAAUUUGUGAAUUAUGUACAUGAAGGAUUGCGAUCUAUUCAGGUGUGUUUAUUUCCAUGAACAAAACACUCUUCUUUUUGUGUGUACAAAUGACUGCUUACAAGACAAAAAGUCCCUUUAACUUGAAUAAAACUACAUCUUUGGUAAAGACCCAAGUAAUUAGAAAUAAGAAGCUUACAGUGACAACCCCGGGAGCUGAUGGCUUGAUGGCUGGGACUUCAAAUGGAAUUCCACCUCCUAAGUAUAAUUAAGCACCUGAAGGAAUGCUGAGGAUUUGAAGUAAGCCCACAGAAGCCAGAGAUUUCAGAACUGAGGCUCUGAAGUCACCAGGAUCGCCCUGCCCUGGUUCAAGGAUGCUCUUUGAUACUGCUCUUGCCCCGGGAGGCAGGGGCUGCGUGUAAUCUCCUAACCUGCAAGGGCCAGGAAGUGGGCAGCAAAGAAACACGUACGCCAGUUUUCAGCCGCUCCCCUUUGUUGUCAGCUGAAGGAAACCGAUAGGUGUUAUUGAGCACAUGUAAGAAUGAUGCUUCUUCCUUGUCGGGGAAAGACAUGUUUGAGCCGUACAAGGGAAAUGGCCACCUCCAACCUCCACUUGCAUAACACGAAGUCCUGUUUCAAUGCUCUUUGGUCGAGGGGGGUGCGGUUCCUUUGGGGCUCGGCUGCUUUCCUGUGGGGCACGAGGAAGGCUUGUCAUCUGGGGCGGGAACAUCAGGACCUCCCCCUCCUGCACCGAGGGAAUUGUUCUCCUGCCUUGCACACACGUGAGAAAAUCAAUGGGAGCUGCUUUCGGAAGCAGCAAAGGGGGACGGAAUAGGUGUCUGAGGCGGGAACCAGCCCCGCCCGACAAACCUAUACAGUAGGAACAAUAUACCCCUCCCAGGACUGCAGGGUGGGGAGGGUCUGUUCUUUUUAACCCUUUACCUGUUAUUUAUUAGGUUACUCUUACUGGAAAGGCAGAAUAGGUGAACCUACAUGGAAGGAGGAGGGAGUGAGGAGGGACCCAUCAUUUAUGAAGGGACCGUGAUGGGCCGUUAUAUUAAUAUUGUUUCACAUAAUUUAAUUUUGUCUAGUUUUUAUAAUCAUCUGUGAAGUGGACUUUCUAUAAGGCUGCGGGUCAGAGAAGUUAGGCGGUGUGCACAAUGUCACACAGCGAGUAUGGGCGGAACUGGGGGUUACAUCAGAAAUAACCCCCGAACCCAUGCUUGUGUCUCCCACAGCCAGUAGACAACACAUUCACAGUGCAUUCAUAGAAUGUACCUGAACUUGCCCUCCUCCCUCCUAUUGGGACUCUUUAACAAGAGUUUUCAUAGUGCUUGCCUGCCAGUCACUGAGCAGAGAGCUGUUUUGAGUGCGGAGGUCGCCGGGGUCAAGGGCAGGGUCAUUGCCGUGGAUGGCUGGGAGGAGUGCCAGGUGUCCACGUUCCUCUGCCCAGGUUGGCAGCGCAGAGUCUGCGGGCUCAGUCCUUUCCCCGGAAUCACAAUGCAUCUUCUGAAAUGGAAUGAGAACACUGGAAGAAGUAAUUAGGUAAUUGGUCCUGGCGACGAGACUUGGGAGACCAGGAGCAGGUUUCAGCUCCCCGACACUCUUCCUCUGCCUCAGAAUGCGAACUAGGUCUUCAAGAAUUUCCCUGUGUGCUGGGAAGCAUAUUUCUUUCCUACAUGGUAGAGAGAAGUAGACUCUCAUGGGGGAAGAGUCAAGGCAGAUCAAAUUUAAAGAAUAAAAUACACCUCUGUCAUAGCGUCGUUAAGAAGAUUAAAUAUUUGUGAAGCACUUAGGACAGGGCCUGGCACAUAGUAGGGAUGUAAAUAUUUGCUAACUACAAGGAAGUGGGCUGUCCCGUUGUUCUUACUGGAAUGUGAGCUCCAAGGGUAGCUUGUAUUUCUGUCUUGCAGUAAUUGCCCAGUAAAAUUUUAGUGGAUGAAAAUCUCAGGGUUUCUAUAAUCGUUUCAAAAUAGGUAAAAUUCCCAGACCCACACCCACUUUAUUUCCCAGCAAGUGUGUCUGUGUUAAGGUGUGGGGAACGUAAGAACAUUUCAGAAUCAAGAUUGAGGUUGUUAACUCUUACCCAGUUUUAGAAUUCAUCUAUUCAAGUCU